GAUGAACGCUGGCGGCGUGCCUAAUACCUGCAAGUCGAGCGAACGGACGAGAAGCUUGCUUCUCUGAUGUUAGCGGCGGACGGGUGAGUAACACGUGGAUAACCUACCUAUAAGACUGGGAUAACUUCGGGAAACCGGAGCUAAUACCGGAGAAUAUUUUGAACCGAAUGGUUCCAAAGUGACAGACGGUCUUGCUGUCACUUAUAGCUGGAUCCGCGCUGCAUUAGCUAGUUGGUAAGGUAACGGCUUACCAAGGCAACGAUGCAUAGCCGACCUGAGAGGCUGAUCGGCCACCCUGGAACUGAGACACGGUCCAGACUCCUACGAGAAGCAGCAGAAGGGUAUCAUGCGCAAUGGGCGAAAGCAUGGCGGAACAAUGUCACGGGAGUGAUAGAGGUCUGCGGAUCGUAAAACUGUGUUAUUAGCGAAAAACAUGUGUGUAUGGAACUGAGCACAUCUUGACGGUACCGAAUCAGAAAGCCACGGCUAACUACGUG
rnacentral:rRNA from 1 species